ensembl:snRNA U2 U2 spliceosomal RNA
AUCGCUUCUCGGCCUUUUGGCCUAAGAUCAAGUGUAGUAUCUGUUCUUAUCAGUUUAAUAUCUGAUACGUCCCCCUAUCUGGGGACCAUAUAUUAAAAUGGAUUUUUGGAAACAGGGAGAUGGAAGAAGAGCUUGCUCUGUCCACUCCACGCAUCGACCUGGUAUUGGCAGUACCUCCAGGACCGGUGCCACCUCU